rnacentral:rRNA from 1 species
UUUUCGGAGAGUUUGAUCCUGGCUCAGGACGAACGCUGGCGGCGUGCCUAAUACAUGCAAGUCGAGCGGACAGAAGGGAGCUUGCUCCCGGAUGUUAGCGGCGGACGGGUGAGUAACACGUGGGUAACCUGCCUGUAAGACUGGGAUAACUCCGGGAAACCGGAGCUAAUACCGGAUAGUUCCUUGAACCGCAUGGUUCAAGGAUGAAAGACGGUUUCGGCUGUCACUUACAGAUGGACCCGCGGCGCAUUAGCUAGUUGGUGAGGUA